rnacentral:piRNA from 1 species
CGUGAUGUGUAAAACCUUUGAUAU